rnacentral:tRNA from 1 species
GCCCCGUUUGUUCAGUGGUAAGGACAUCAGAUUUUCACUCUGGAAACAGGGGUUCGAUUCCCCUACGGGGUACCA